rnacentral:rRNA from 1 species
GGGUUGUGAGGUUAAGCGACUAAGCGUACACGGUGGAUGCCCUGGCAGUCAGAGGCGAUGAAGGGCGUGCUAAUCUGCGAUAAGCGCCGGUAAGGUGAUAUGAACCGUUAUAACCGGCGAUACCCGAAUGGGGAAACCCAGUGUGAUUCGUCACACUAUCAUUAACUGAAUCCAUAGGUUAAUGAGGCGAACCGGGGGAACUGAAACAUCUAAGUACCCCGAGGAAAAGAAAUCAACCGAGAUUCCCCCAGUAGCGGCGAGCGAACGGGGAGGAGCCCAGAGCCUGAAUCAGCAUGUGUGUUAGUGGAAGCGUCUGGAAAGGCGCGCGAUACAGGGUGACAGCCCCGUACACAAAAGCGCAUGUGCUGUGAGCUCGAUGAGUAGGGCGGGACACGUGGUAUCCUGUCUGAAUAUGGGGGGACCAUCCUCCAAGGCUAAAUACUCCUGACUGACCGAUAGUGAACCAGUACCGUGAGGGAAAGGCGAAAAGAACCCCGGCGAGGGGAGUGAAAAAGAACCUGAAACCGUGUACGUACAAGCAGUGGGAGCACCCUUUUGGGUGUGACU